UUGCUCAAAAGGAUAGUUUAUACUAUCACAGGGAAAGAAACCAUAUGGAGAAAAGGAGGUAUUUAUAAGGAGACAGUGAGGAUAAAAUGGACUUUGUGGGAAGUUGAAGCUGAGUUCCAGCUCUUAAAACAAUUAUGGCUAGAUUUAUUGGUGGGCGUGAUAGUUCUUGAUUGUACAACUCCAGUGAGAAAGAAGAUAAAUGAGGCUACAGCACCUGCAAGACAUAGAGGCAAGAUUAGCCAAGAAUUAAGAGCCUCUUCUGAGAGUCACAGACACCUCUGAAAAGCCUGGCAAGAGCUAAGUAUGUGAGGGGGCAGCGAAGACUACAGGAUGGGAAGGAAAAACAAAUGUGCUAUUUUUAGGUUGCUACUUGAUGUGAAAUCAAAUACUGAUAGUUAAGUUAUAACAUAAAAGGUCAAUCAGGAAUUUAGUGUACAAGUCUUAGCACUUACUAUCGGAC
ensembl:lincRNA